AUUGAACGCUGGCGGCAGGCCUAACACAUGCAAGUCGAGCGGAUGAAGGGAGCUUGCUCCUGGAUUCAGCGGCGGACGGGUGAGUAAUGCCUAGGAAUCUGCCUGGUAGUGGGGGAUAACGUCCGGAAACGGGCGCUAAUACCGCAUACGUCCGGAGGGAGAAAGUGGGGGAUCUUCGGACCUCACGCUAUCAGAUGAGCCUAGGUCGGAUUAGCUAGUUGGUGGGGUAAAGGCCUACCAAGGCGACGAUCCGUAACUGGUCUGAGAGGAUGAUCAGUCACACUGGAACUGAGACACGGUCUAGACUCCUACGGGAGGCAGCAGUGGGGAAUCUUGGACGAUGGGCGAAAGCCUGAUCCAGCCAUGCCGCGUGUGUGAAGAAGGUCUUCGGAUUGUAAAGCACUUUAAGUUGGGAGGAAGGGCAGUAAGUUAAUCCCUUGCUGUUUUGACGUUACCAACAGAAUAAGCCCCGGCUAACUUCGUG
rnacentral:rRNA from 1 species